rnacentral:ncRNA from 14 species
AGCCCUCCCGCGCCGGGGUCAUGGCGCGGCUUCCCUCCCUGUUGGACUGCCCGGGCUUCGGCCCGGGCAUUUUU